GACAGCAGCAGCCACGGUAAUACGAAGGGUGCAAGCGUUACUCGGAAUUACUGGGCGUAAAGCGUGCGUAGGUGGUGGUUUAAGUCCGUUGUGAAAGCCCUGGGCUCAACCUGGGAAUUGCAGUGGAUACUGGGUCACUAGAGUGUGGUAGAGGAUAGUGGAAUUUCCGGUGUAGCAGUGAAAUGCGUAGAGAUCGGAAGGAACAUCUGUGGCGAAGGCGACUAUCUGGGCCAACACUGACACUGAGGCACGAAAGCGUGGGGAGCAAACAGGAUUAGAUACCCCGGUAGUCCCUGUCUCUUAUAA
rnacentral:rRNA from 1 species